rnacentral:lncRNA from 1 species
UAUUGGGCAAUAUGGGACGAUGUGCUGGGCUGUGGGUGCUAUGGGGCGGUGUGGGGCUCUGCUGGUGGUAUGGGGCUGUGUGGGCGCUGUGGGUCCCUGUGGGUCUCUAUGGGUUUCCAUAUGUCCCUAUGUGUCCCUAUGGUCCCUAUGGUCCCUGUGGGUCCCUAUGGUCCCUGUGUGUCCCUAUGGUCCCUGUGUGUCCCUAUGUGUCCCUGUGGUCCCUGUGGUCCCUACGGCCGCCGUGCGUCCCUGCAGAACCGCUUCCUGAGCGGCGUUUACCCGGCGUCGCCGUCGUGGUGGCUGGCGCUGCUGGCGGCGACGGGCGGCGCGCUGAGCCUCCGCCUGGAUCCGUCCUUCGGCGUCAUCGGCCGCAUCCGCGCCGCCCUGCCGGAAUGGUGGGCGGGGGGACAAGGGGGGGGAAACGGCACCCACCGAGACCCCCACCCAAAUCCCGGCCCCAAAUCCCAGCCCCACAUCCCUGUCCUGCAUCCCAACCCCACAUCCCAACCCCACAUCCCAACCCCACAUCCUCUUCCCUCCCCUUUCCCCUUCCCUUCCCCCUCCUUUUCCCUUUCCCCUUUCCCUUUCCCUUUCCUUUUCCCUUUCUCUUCCCUUUCCCCUUCCCCUUCCCCUUCCCCUUCCCCUCCUCUCCCUUCCCUUCC